GCUGCAGUCACCAUCUGCCAGCCCUGGCUCUGCAGCUCCUGUGUGCUGCUCACAGCCCAGCCUGGUCUGGGGCCAAAGCUCAAAUGUGAGGGCAGAAAGGAGGGACCAGCCUGGGCAAGCCUGGCUGUCUGUGUACAGAGAGCUCAGGAAUAUGGGCUCAGUGGAGACUGGAAAUGUGAGGAGGGAAAGAUAAUGAGGUGAAGACCCAGCUCAGGCGGAAUUGUGUGUCAGAAGCAGAGCUAUUCUCUCCUAAAAACAGCUGCUGGUGCAAAACCCAAGGGCUCUGUCACACAUAAAACUGCACAGAGCAAGAGGCAAGUGUGCUCCUUUCCUCAAAAGGCACAGAGUAAACCUUCAGCCUCAGCAGCCAGAGAUCCAAACCACACCUCAGUCCAUUGUCCUGCUGCAGGGAGGAGAUUUGUGCAGUCCUUUCACUGCUCCAGAUGCUGCAGCCCCAAAAUCAGUGUCAUGUUCUGCCUCUCCACAGCUGCAGGAGGAUGAAGGAUGCUCAGUAACACCUCAGUGCUGGAAAAGAACCCACCAUGGUUUGAUCUGCUAAAGAUAACAAAACCAUCCUUCUCCUCCAGAAGAAAACUGCUUGAGCACUGCUCCUUCAGAGCCAAAGCUGUGUUCAAUAACAGUCAACUUCAUUAUCCUCUAUGGUCCCCACAGCAGCAAGGAUGUCCUGUAAGAGGGACUGAGGGCUUUCCUCCACAUGGUCACUACUUUUAUUUAGCUCAUCAUGCAGCUCCAGCAAGUCUAUUGCACCCAAAGCUAACAUCAUGCUCUCUGGAUCUUGGAAAUCCACCCCAACAUCACCAUCCAUGGGGAAGUUCUGAGCCAGAGAACCCUGUCUCAGUGUCCUCUGUAGCCAGGCAAUGCCACGUCCUGCAGGUGAAUCUUCAAUCUCCUGUGGAUUCUCCAAAGUACUCAUGGGGUAGAAAUGGCCUCUCAGGCCAACCAGCACAUCACAGGCUCUCUGCCCCACGGGUUUGUCACAGUCACACAAAGAGCCAAACAAAAACCCAAACAGCUUUGCUCGACAGAACACCUGCAGCAGCUCCUUCUGAGGGGUGGAACUGGGGACUGCAGAGGUGACAGGAGCAUAGGGACACUGGGAGAGCUGGCAAAUGGUCUGGCUACAGAAAACUUCCACCAGCUCCAAACCACCGAGUCUGACUUCCCAGUCUAAGUCACGCUCCACAGUCUGGAUGACUCUAGAGACAAAGAGCUCUGUAUCUUCCAGCUGACCUGUGCAGCCUUCCCUCAGCCACUUGGUGAAGAUGCUGAUCACAGCCCUCCUAGGAAAGCCCUCUGAGUCUGUUGACAAGAUUUCCUGAAGCUUUGCUAGGAUGCUCUGGAUGCAAAAAGACAAAAGAGAAAGCAAAGUGAGGGGAGGAGCAUGCAAAGAAACAAAACCAGCAGAGGUGAAAAAUCCUCUCAUUACUGGCUGUGCAACCUGCCUGCAUCAGCAGAUAACUUGGGAAGAAAAUUAUAAGCAGUACAGCAGUAAACUGAUGGGAAUUGCUCAUGCAGAAAAGGUUGUCCUACCUCUCUGUUAUACUGACUGCCUGUGACAGGUGAGUCUGGAGCAAAGCAAGCAAUGGGGGCCAGGUGUCCCACGGCAGUCACGGCGCUCGCUCGCACGUAGCUCUCUGGGUCCUCCAGCAGGUUUUCUGUCAGCCUCAGCACCUCAGAGGACAGGAGACACUGCCUGAACUCCUUCUGGUCUGUAAACAAGACAGCAAUCCAGUGAAGUGGGAUUUUACUCCCUCUGAGCAUGAAGCUGUUUCCAAUGCAAACAGCCCUUUGCCUUGCACAAGGAUGGCCGCUGCCUGCAGGGACAGGAGCUGCUGCAGGACCAGGCAGAUGUUCUGUGUAAGGCUCCCCCUCUCCCAGCAGCUUUUAGUCAAGCCCUGACAGACACUGGAACUUGGAAAAUUGCACUUAGAGUUGUUUUAACAGCAAGAAAAAACUUUCUGCAGGCAAGUGGGGACAUGGUUCCAGCCUCAUCAAAUUUAUGCCUUUGUUUAAAUGAGGAAAAACAGUCUUCCUUUCCUGUUGUCAGGCAUAUGGCAGAGAAAACAAAGUAACUGCAGCACUGAGAGGGGCUGCAGGGUAAAGUGCUAAUGCAGCUGAGCAUGUUGGAUAUUUCCUUUGUGAGCUGGGGACAACAGCAGUUGAUAACAUUCCCCUCCCUUCCAACAUUGCAGAGCUGCUGUAGGAAAAUCAGCUUUGCCUCAGUGCUACCUGCUGCAAGGCCUGGCUAUCAGUAAAGCAGAAAAUCAGUAAUUAAUCCCAAGCAUAUAAAGCAGGUCUAGGCUUUCAGCCUCCUAAAGGCCAGCCCCCAGCCUGUUAAAAGAAACCAGACUCCAGUGCAGAGCAAACUGAAAACCAGAAAUAUUCUCUGCCAUUAAGCACUGUCACCUGCCUUGACAGUCAUGUCUCAACACCUCAGUUUAACUCAUCAAAACUGCCAUUAAGGCAGGUACAGCAAUCUGAGUUCAACAGAAAAAGCAGGCCCUCCAGUUACAGGUCAGAAAAUGUUUCACCAGCCUGACUUUCACACCACUAAAGGAAAUACUCCUCAAAUCUGAACUGGUAAAUCUUUGCACCUACCUCUCAAGCACUUAACCAUGGAAGUGA